rnacentral:lncRNA from 1 species
GGCAAAUUCAAAUUCAAGAUGCGAACAAAGCAGGAGGACAUCCCAAAAGAAUUUAAUAGUCAAGGGUUGCAUUUAAGUCGAGAAGUGAAUUUAGUUCACUACAAGUCAAAAGAUGAAUCUGCAAAUUUAUUCGCAAGGUCUCUUUCGGUUAUCAGGUGUGGAGAUUCCAAGACAAAAGAUAAAAAAUUUACAGUUCCUAAAGCGAGGAGUGUUAAAACUAGUUUUGAGGAAUAAUGCACACAAUUUAUUUUUAGGGAUCUUUCAAAAAUAGCAGCAUUUUGC